rnacentral:rRNA from 1 species
GGCGGGUUGGUCCGGGGAUUAUGGGCGUAAGCGCGCGCAGGCGGUCUCUUAAGUCUGAUGUGAAAGCCCACGGCUCAACCGUGGAGGGUCAUUGGAAACUGGGGGACUUGAGUACUGGAGAGGAGAGUGGAAUUCCAUGUGUAGCGGUGAAAUGCGUAGAUAUAUGGAGGAACACCAGUGGCGAAGGCGGCUCUCUGGCCAGUAACUGACGCUGAGGCGCGAAAGCGUGGGGAGCAAACAGGAUUAGAUACCCUGGUAGUCCACGCCGUAAACGAUGAGUGCUAGGUGUUGGGGGGUUCCACCCUCAGUGCUGACGUUAACA